AUUGAUCCAACGGCUGAGAUCAACCCACUCAUUCCAUAUAUAAGCCUCCUACCAUACCCUUCCCCCCUAUCCAAGACCCCGCCUUCGUCCUCAUCCCCUUCCCCUCCAAACCCUAGCCGCCCCUGUAUGUGACCCCAUCCUUAACACCAUAGAUGCUCCUCACCGUCCUGAACCCAAAUCCACCAACCACACACUUCGAAUCCCCUCCCACCUUCUCGAAUCUUCAUUUGAAGAUUCGAGUCGGAACCUGACUUGCACCAAUCGACCUCAACUUCACCCCAGACAGUCCCCGAACCUCCCUCGUGACCAAACCAUGCUUGGUUUGGUCCGAAUCUAACCAGGGAAACACGAAUCCCAGAUCUGAUUUUUUCUGAACCCUAGGUUUCCUCGUGCCUGUUCCGUGCCUGUUUAAACCAAGAGAUUAGGUUUAAACCUCGUGCCUGUUCCGUGCCUGUUUAAACCAAGAAAUUAGGGUCUAAUCCAAGCUAAGCCAAGGGUCUGUUCCGUGCCUGUUUGAACCAAGAGAUUAAGUUCAAACCUCGUGCCUGUUCCGUGCCUGUUUAAGCUAAGAGAUUAAGGUCUGAUGGACUUUAAUCGAAGUGUAAAGUCCGUUCAACCUUAAGAGAGGCAUGUUCGAAUCCAAGCUAAGGCUCUUUGAUAUUUCGGGAUUUAAGGUGAGUUUUGUUUUCCUUUUUCUUUAUUCCAUGUGCUGAUUAAAGGUCUGUUCAUGUUUUGUUUUAAUUCGUGUUUUUGAAUUUUACCAACUGUGUCCUGUCCACCUUGCCUGAACCUCUGUGUUUGAUUGAGUCCUUCUUCUACUUGUUACUGAUAAUGUGCAUAUGUGUAUGUGCUGUGCGAACAAUUGAACUUCAAAUUUUGACUGAUCAACUAAUUCCUCGAGUACAAUUUUGCAUUAGUCAGUACAAUUCGAAUCAUGUGUUCGAUACUGUUAAAUGUCUGAUCAUGGUUUAGAUGAUACAUGUUAUGAUUAGUAUAGUCGAGUCGACAUUUGCCGUCAAUUAGUUUCAGCUACCUGAACAAUAACAAAUUGACUUGCUUCUGCUAAGCAUUGCCUGAAUCAAUUAGGAACUGAGUUUGGUUACUUAUAGUUGUUAAUUUGAAUCAGAAAUAUAAAAGGAAUGUUUUGUUUAGUUACAGUUCUGAAUUGGAGGGCAUGUGCACUUGUGCACAACAUGUGCACUUGUGUACCACAUGUGCAUUGUGCACAACCUGUGUCCUGCAUAAAGGCUUUUGUUAAGUUUAAAAUAAUUUGACAGCAUAUGCUGUCAGAUUACAUUCUGCUGCCCAUACUCUGCUUUAGUUUCAGAAAUAAUACACCUUACUCAAAAGUAAGUCUGCCAAGGAAUAUCAUGGGGUUUGUUUUUAUUUAAUUGGUAAGUGGAAACUGAAAAGAAGAUAGCACAUGGGAGGGGUGUGCUGAUGGUUUAACAGGCUGAUAAAGGGGCUGAUUUUAGGUUGAUAAAAGGAAGGACUUCCAUCAGUUAAAGACGGAUUUUGAUAUACACACACACAUACAGACAGACAUUGAGAAUAACAGAGUGAACUGAGAGGGAACAUUUUUAGGAGAGUUGAGUUCUGAAAAACAAAAAAAAAACUGGAAAAGAAUUCUUUUGGAUAGCCAAAAAAUAGAUUUCAAGACUGAAAUUGGACAUUGGAUUUUGAAAAGAAAUAGAUAGUAAGAGGGUUAAAGAUACAGAAAUCAGAAACUGGUUUUCUUCCUGCUUUUGUUCAAUUCUUAGCCUGCUCAGCCUAUUCAGUCAGUUUUCUUUUCUUGCAAGUAUCAGCUAAGUGUGUUAGUUUGGUUUGCCUUGGUUGAUUCUCUUGGAAUUGGAUUGUCUGGAUUUCUGUUUCUAUACUGCUGGUCACUGCUGUCAUUCUGCCAUUUUUUCAUCGGCACUGGUUGCCUUUUGCACUGGGAUUUUGUUCAAUUUGUCCUGCUGUUAUUUAUCUGUUACUGUUGCUGUUUCGUUUACACUGCUGCUCAACUGAUCCCCCUGCUUUCUUCAUUGUAAGCAUCUCCUCAGGUACACAUUUCGAAUCUGUCUGAUAUUGCAAUGAAAGUUGAAUCGAAAGAACUGAAGGAGUUAUAAUCAUCUGUUGCAUUGCUCACAAGUUUUCUUUUUAUGUUGUUAAGCUGUGUAAGUUCUAGUCUGUGAGCCUAAUAGAGAUACAUUAGUAAGGUUGUACUUAAUUAAAGUUUAUGCCAAUCUGAAACUGCGACAUUUGACUCGUUUAGUAGUAUACAGGAUGUAAAUAUAAUUCAUGAAAUGUGCAGCUAUUUAAUACGAUUGUUAACUUAAACUCGCUCUUUAGCAUGCUUUGAAUAUGUAAGGGUGAAUGGUUGUUAAAUCUAGC
rnacentral:lncRNA from 1 species